rnacentral:rRNA from 1 species
CUCGCGCGAUUGGAGCGGCCGAUGUCANAUUANGUAGUUGGUGAGGUAAAGGCUCACCAAGCCGACGAUCUGUAGCUGGUCUGAGAGGACGACCAGCCACACUGGGACUGAGACACGGCCCAGACUCCUACGGGAGGCAGCAGUGGGGAAUUUUGGACAAUGGACGCAAGUCUGAUCCAGCCAUGCCGCGUGCGGGAAGAAGGCCUUCGGGUUGUAAACCGCUUUUGUCAGGGAAGAAAAGGCUCCGGAUAAUACCUGGGGCUCAUGACGGUACCUGAAGAAUAAGCACCGGCUAACUACGUGCCAGCAGCCGCGGUAAUACGUAGGGUGCAAGCGUUAAUCGGAAUUACUGGGCGUAAAGCGUGCGCAGGCGGUUAUGUAAGACAGAGGUGAAAUCCCCGGGCUCAACCUGGGAACUGCCUUUGUGACUGCAUGACUAGAGUACGGUAGAGGGGGAUGGAAUUCCACGUGUAGCAGUGAAAUGCGUAGAUAUGUGGAGGAACACCGAUGGCGAAGGCAAUCCCCUGGA